rnacentral:misc_RNA from 1 species
GUGAAUUAAACAUGCUCGGUGUCUUCGCUUCGGCAAGGCCCUUGCUUAAAUCACAUCCUAACACCUGUGAACUGUAAGACGUAUGAUGAGGUCUUUGGCCAAGUCAUCGUCUGCCCAUUUUUAACAAACAAUUAAUGUAACAAACGUAGUCUUAUUAUAACCUAAUA